rnacentral:sRNA from 1 species
GUAAACAUCAUUUUAGCGUUUCUCCUAAGUGUUGAAUUGUAAUUUCAUUUUUGUUGUGUCUGCAGAACACUGCACUGCUGGCUAGACGACUGCUCAAUGGCGAGUUAGAGCCUGCAAAGAUUUUGAACAAUAUCCUCCUUCUCUGUGCAAAUAAAUCUAGGGAUCCUAAUAAUCACAUUUUGAUUCUGUUCUUGCAUCUAGCUGGAGUGUGUUGACUGUGGCUAUUCCUGGUAUGCUUCAAGGGAUGAGGCAUCCUAAUAAUCACAUUUUGAUUCUGUUCUUGCAUCUAGCUGGAGUCUGUUGACUGUGGCUAUUCCUGGUAUGCUUCAAGGGAUGAGGCAUCAACUCUGACAAUAAGCACAGAAAACCUGCCCAAGGCACAGAGAAGGAGGAUAUUGAGAAGAAUUUGACCAGAUCUGGUGAAACCGAGAAACCUCAAGACGAAGCCUUGAAGACCAAUGACUCAAAUGCCUCCAAGAAUGGGCGAAGACAUGGGGAGUCUCCUAACUCGGGUACUCAUCUGGUUCAACGGAUCGAUAAACAAGUAAGGAACAGAAUCUCAGUAAUCAACGCAAGUGGAGACUGCCGGUAUGACAAGGCCCUCCAAUAUUGGUUUCAAUCUAGAAUGGGAACUAACUAGCAAAUAGAUAAAAUCUCUUUUUAAACUCUUUCGGCAAAAGUCGCACUUGAUGUACAAACGCUAUUUUUCUUUUGAGUUUAAUUUAACAUUACAUUCAAAAAAAAAAAACAAAUGCCUCCAAGAAACUAGAGUAAAG